GGUCAUUGGUAAUUACUGCUUUUGAGCUGUUUUCAGUUUCAUUUCACCAAAUACGAGUAAACAACUUGCAAACAAUGACGUGCUUUUGUGUAGAUUCAUUUUCUGAAUGAUUCUUCUGAUUUUGCUUACAGAACUUCUGUUGUCGGCAUUAGAUGUGUAUUUAGGCGUUGGAAAUCUCAGUGGGAGACUUGUUGGGUCAUUCGUAUUAAUGGGUCAUUUCAAGAACACUGCAUGCAUCUCAAUAUUCAGUUUAAAUCCGUUGAUUUUUUUAAUGGAUUAUAAUUCAAGAACUACGUUGAUGAUGUUUAAUUAGUGACAGACGUUACUGCUCUCGUUUUAAAUUUUA
rnacentral:misc_RNA from 1 species